GAAUUAUUUCCUUUAUUUUAAAUUGAUUUUACGCAAGAUUAAGGGAUAGGAGUUUGAGAACUUUCUCAUUCCCAUUGGAAGCAUAGGGUGUGACCACUAGGGUAAAUAAAAGGAAAAUUAUGUGCUUGCUGGCUCAUUUGCAUUGUGGCUACCGAAUGUAGAGAGAGAAGGAGAAGAGAGGCGUGAGGCUAGAGAAAAAAGGAGAAGAAGAAAGGGAGAAAGAAGAAGAAAAAUAAGGGAGUUCGAAAAUCCCUAGGGGAUGUAUCAAGAGGAUGUUUUGGUUUUGAGUUGUUAAUCCUCAUCAAGGAGCUUAUCUCUUCCGAGUGAGUGACCAGUAAAGAGCAUUGGCACAUUCAAUGCUCCAGACAGAAGAGCAGCAGCAUCACCUGCAUCUGCAUAAUGUCCAUGAAUUGCUAUAAGCCAAACUGGUUGCCCACCACCAACUUGCUCACCCAGAACUCUGGACAUAUGAGAAACAUGGAUGAGUGCACAGUCAACAAAUUCAGGAAUGUGAGGCCAAAGAAGUUCUUUUGCUACAUAUUUAUCCUUUGGGCCAAAUGGUACCCGAACUAUGUAGGCAAUGGUUUCUCCUUGGCACGCACAGUGAUGUGGGAAGUUCUUAUGUCUAGUCAUGUAUGACGCGGGGUGUCCCAUGAGCAAUUAACGAUCUAGCUAAGCGCCAAGAAAGUUAAUGAAAUUUAUGUGUUAUGUGUUAUGGUUUAUGUUUUAUUUACGUCAGUGAGACUUAUUAUCUUACUUUAUUUUCAAAGACAACAUAAAGGCACUAUAUUUUUAUUUUAAACUAUUGGGCCAAAAUUGCAUGUUUUGACAAGGCCCCACUGAACAUUUUCUCUCAAAUGAUAUUUUCAAAUAAAUAUGAAUUGAGUGACAUUUUACAAAGUAAAUAUAUUAGGGCGUUCUUACAAAUGGUAUCAGAGACAAGUUGUUCAUGUUUCCAACGACCCUCCGCAUACAUGCUAAAGACUAGAAAAUCUCACCUCAUCAUGUCGUAAGUAAUUGCUUUAAUUGUUAUUUUCUUUCCUUAUUUUUAAAUAGUUAGUUUUGUAAUUGCAGUAUAGAAAAGAUGCCUAAAAUUAUUAGGACUACCAAGAAAUAGCUACUUAAGGAGAUCCGAGAAAUAUCCAAGGUAGAAGCUGCCAUAGGUGAUGGAGACUGGCAAUUUACAGUAUUGUAGAAUAUGCAGAUGGUCUAUGAAAGCAUCCAAGGGGUCAUCAACAAAAGAAGGGCACUUCUGUGGCCCAUAUAACAACAUUGGAUGCUGAGAGAAGUACUGGCUGAGUAUCCUGAGUUCCUCCUUUGGUGGGUCAUGGCGUGGCAUGGUAACUUUGAGGAGGAUUUGGAGUUUGCCACCUUCAAAUACGUUGUUUAUGAGUUCAUGGAGUACUUCGACUUUCGAACGAAUGGAGAUGGUCCUAGUUCGGAAUGGCAUAGGAGAAUUGGAGGAAAUGUUGGAGACCGUUCAUGAUGAAGAAGGUGAGAUGGGGCUCCGCGAGCUGCUGUUUGCCAUCCCGGAGGUGGAUGAUAUGAGAAAUAUUUUAGCAACCACUCCCGAGUACUUCCACAUUUCGGAGGAUAUCUUUGACUACAAUUCAGGGGACGAGUCCACAAUAGAGAACUAGAGUCCUUUUCAAAAUUUCACCAAAUACUUCUAUUUAAAUAAAUGGGACUUUCUCAAAGACCCUUGAAAACUUUUGGAAUAUUAUGGUUAUUUUGGGAUGUUUUGGAUGUUCUGAUUAUGGGGUACUUUUGAGUAACUAUGGAUAUUUAUAAGUUUUAGCUAUAUUUUUCUUUGUUUGUAAACUCUAGAUGGUGUAUGGAUAUAAGUAUGCAUGGAAACCUUUACUAUAGCGCAUCAAUAUUUUUAUUUAA